AGACAAACAAUAGAUAUCGAUGUCUGAUUUUUUAUUCAGGCCGUAGUCCUGUCACAUAGGUCGAUCGGUACCUCAGAUUAAAACUUAAAUUUUUUGAGAAAUCAGUUUUAUAAGUUUUUAAUUUCAGUUCCUAAACUUGUCUAGGUCACACCCAACAAACUUUCUCCUGGGCUAUUAGCUCAGGUGGUUAGAGCGCACCCCUGAUAAGGGUGAGGUCCCUGGUUCAAGUCCAGGAUGGCCCAUUCGUUGUUGGGGGUAUAGCUCAGUUGGUAGAGCGCCUGCUUUGCAAGCAGGAUGUCAGCGGUUCGAGUCCGCUUACCUCCACUGAUCAACUACCUGAUAACUCAACUGGAGAUUGUCAUUUGUUUACAGUGACUUAGAUAUUGUUCACCUGAAUGAACCUAGCUUCCUAUUACUCCUUGAUAAAUUUGAGGCUGAUAAGACGCUGGGCUCGCUGAAUAUUUUUUCAAUAUUCAGUUUGAUUCAGCAGAACCUUGACAACUGCAUAGGAAAAGUCUGGAAAAAUAAAGCAUCUCAUAGAUGCUUGGGAGUUUAGUAUUUAGUUUUUUACUGAACUAAGAUAUUAGAUUUCUAAGUUUGAUUCUUGAGUUAGAGCAAAAUUUCUAUUACUUAUUUCAUUUAGCAAUAAAUGAUUAACUAAUUAAUUUUAGUAAGUUUAAUAGAUAUUAAU
rnacentral:tRNA from 1 species